rfam:Salpingoeca sp. ATCC 50818 unplaced genomic scaffold supercont1.20, whole genome shotgun sequence.
GCAUCUGUGGCGCAAUUGGAUAGCGCACUCGGUUCCGGUCCGAGAGGUUGCGGGUUCGAGUCCCGUCAGGUGUA